GACGAACGCUGGCGGCGUGCUUAACACAUGCAAGUCGAACGAGUGGCGAACGGGUGAGUAACGCGUAGGUAACUACCUAUUAGAGGGGGAUAACUAUUGGAAACGAUAGCUAAUACCGCAUAUUAGAGAUUGGACCUGCUUUUUAUGAGCUAGUAGUUAGGGUAAUGGCCUACCUAGGCACCGAUACAUAGCCGACCUGAGAGGGUGAUCGGCCAAACUGGGACUGAGAGACGGCCCAGACUCCGACGGGAGGCAGCAGUAGGGAAUCUUCGGCAAUGGGGGGAACCCUGACCGAGCAACGCCGCGUGAGUGAAGAAGGUUUUCGGAUCGUAAAGCUCUGUUGUUAAGGAAGCGGUACUUAACCAGAAAGGGACGGCUAACUACGUGCCAGCAGCCGCGGUAAUAC
rnacentral:rRNA from 1 species